rnacentral:rRNA from 1 species
GACGAACGCUGGCGGCGUGCUUAACACAUGCAAGUCGGACGGAAAGGCCCUGCUUUUGUUGGGGACUCGAGUGGCGAAAGUGUGAGUAACGCGUGAGUAACCUGCCCGUGACUUUGGCAUCACUUCAGUAAACUGGGGCAACUACCUCUUAGUAGCUCCUGCUGCAUGGUGUGGGGUGGAAAGUUUCGGCGGUUGGGGAUGGACUCGGGGCUUAUCAGCUUGUUGGUGGGGUAGUGGCUUACGAAGGCUGUGACGGGUAGCCGGCCGGAAAGGGUGACCGGCGAUACGGGGAAGGAGAUACGGCGCAGACUCAGUCGGGAAGCAGCAGUGAGGAAUAGUGGACAAUUGGAGGAACGCUGAGGCAGCAACGCCGGGUGCGGGAUUAUGGCCUUCGGGUGAUAGACCGGUUUCGCCUUGGUUGAAGGGUGAGUGACGGUAAUGGGAGAAGAAGCACCGGCUAACUACGUG